AACGCGAAGAACCUUACCUGGGCUCGAAAUGCAGAGGACGAUGGUAGAGAUAUCAUUUCCCGAAAGGGUCUCUGCAUAGGUGCUGCAUGGCUGUCGUCAGCUCGUGCCGUGAGGUGUUUGGUUAAGUCCAGCAACGAGCGCAACCCUUAUCGUUAGUUGCCAACGCGUCAAGGCGGGAACUCUAACGAGACUGCCUAGGUUAACUAGGAGGAAGGUGAGGAUGACGUCAAGUCCGCAUGGCCUUUAUGUCCAGGGCUACACACGUGCUACAAUGGUCGGUACAGAAGGCAGCGAAACCGCAAGGUGAAGCAAAUCCCGAAAACCGAUCUCAGUUCAGAUUGUAGUCUGCAACUCGGCUACAUGAAGUUGGAAUUGCUAGUAAUGGCGUGUCAGCAACAACGCCGUGAAUACGUUUCCGGGCCUUGUACACACCGUACGUC
rnacentral:rRNA from 1 species